rnacentral:rRNA from 1 species
AUUGAACGCUGGCGGAAUGCUUUACACAUGCAAGUCGAACGGCAGCACGGACUUCGGUCUGGUGGCGAGUGGCGAACGGGUGAGUAACAUAUCGGAACGUAUCCAAUAAUGGGGGAUAACUAAUCGAAAGGUUGGCUAAUACCGCAUACGCCCUACGGGGGAAAGCUAGGGACCUUCGGGCCUGGCGUUAAUGGAGCGGCCGAUAUCUGAUUAGCUAGUUGGUGGGGUAAAGGCCCACCAAGGCGACGAUCAGUAGCUGGUCUGAGAGGACGACCAGCCACGCUGGAACUGAGACACGGUCCAGACUCCUACGGGAGGCAGCAGUGGGGAAUUUUGGACAAUGGGCGCAGGCCUGAUCCAGCCAUUCCGCGUGAGUGAAGAAGGCCUUCGGGUUGUAAAGCUCUUUCGCAAGGGAAGAAAACUUAGCCUCUAACGUAGGCUGAGGUUGACGGUACCUUGAUAAGAAGCACCGGCUAACUACGUGCCAGCCGCCGCUGUAA